UCCGAACCGAACCGGGAUCGGGUGAGAAUUUAAUUGCGUCCCCGCCCGACCCGAUCGGAACCCUCGGCCAUAAGGAGUGACAAGGGGCAGUUCGAUAAAUCUCGACAAAACCCACGAUGAUGCUGUGGCGCGGAUCGAAAAUAGCGGCAAUGCUUCUCAGAAGCCCCAUUGCCUUCGAAUCCUUACAACCCCUAUCGGCUAUCUCAUCCAAUUUUCACAAUAUCUGUCGAAUCACUUCCAUUCCGGUCCCGCAAACUCUACCCAGAUUCAGGAUUCCAAUUGGUUGCUUCCAAUCUCCGACCGUAGGAGCUUGUUCUAGGGUUUGGGGAUCUGUUUAUUCCAGAUCGGAUCGGAAGGGAUUUGAUUUCUUCAUGCUUCAAGCGGUUUUAGAUAGAGGUUCUGGAGGCGGCGACGGGUUUAAGGGUUCGGGAGGUGGUGGAAGUGGCGGCGGAGGCGGGGAGGAAGCCGGUGGUAAUGGUUGGUCCUUUUUAUCAUGGUAUCUGGCAGCUCUUGAUAAGCACCCAGUGAUAACAAAGGCUUUGACAUCUGCAUUUCUUACUCUUAUUGGGGAUUUGGUAUGCCAGAUUAUGAUAGAUCAUGUCCCAAAACUGGAUGAAAGGCGGACAUUUGUGUUCACUUUCUUGGGGCUUGUGUUGGUGGGUCCUACACUGCAUUUUUGGUAUCUCUCUCUUAGUAAGCUGAUCAGCUUGCCUGGAGCGUCGGGCGCUUCCUUGCGCCUUUUCCUUGAUCAGUUUUUCUUCUCUCCCAUCUUUAUCGGGGUUUUCUUAUGUGCGCUUGUUACAUUAGAAGGAAGGCCUUCUCAAGUGAUACCGAAGCUCCAGCAGGAGUGGUUUUCAUCUGUGCUAGCAAAUUGGCAGCUGUGGAUACCCUUUCAGUUCCUUAAUUUCCGGUUUGUUCCACAAAAAUUUCAGGUUCUUGCUGCAAACGUUGUGGCUCUUGUAUGGAAUGUGAUUCUAUCAUUUAAAGCGCACAAAGAAAUUGUUGUCAAAUAGGCAUGCUUUGUUCUGAUGGAGAUUGCAGAAGUCAACAUUUUCGUGAUUUUAUUGGUGCUGAGAUGCAAUUGUUGCAUAUGAUCUUAUGACAAAGAAUUAUUGGUAAAGGGUGAUAAUCGCGCGUGGGGCGAUGGGGCGGAGCUAUACAUUUUGGUUAAUGAGAUACAUCGGUGCGCAGCUUGUUCCAACACUUUAUCUCCUUUUGGGAUUCAUUGAUAAUAACUUUCUCAUGGGUUACAAAUGAGACUGGUGCGGUAGUCCCACCCGCAAUGUGGGAUGACACGGAAGUCGUGUCCCGCGAUUUUGAAUGGCAGGACGAUGUCGAAGUCAUGUUUUGUGACUUGGAUGACAUGGGAUUUCAACCGUAGUGGCUUGGACCGAAGGGCUGAUCAACUCUUUACAUGUAUUUUCCUCUUAUUGGGAGUGGGGUCCACUCCUAUUUACCCUAGGUAUAUAAGUAUGUUGUUUUUGUGUUUUAGGUCAUUUUCUUCGUGUGUUUUGUUAGCACGGCCGUUAGUGUCCGUUUUCUCUUUUCAAUGGUUGUAUCUGAGGGAUUGGGUUGUGCGUCGACUCUCUCUCUCCCAAAGUGAUGAUUAUCUUCUCCUAUCCUCUUCCGCAUCCUCACACAUUGCUUCCGGCUGCUCCUCCUUUAUUGCAGCCGCCCAAAAUAGCCUCUUUUGGCUGUUUUGUGCGGUUCCUGCUUUCCAACUGCCUUCCCCACCCCUUGACUGAUGUUCCAGCCGCCCAUAUCUAGUUUCCUUGGAGCUUCACUGCUGUUUCAGCCACGAGAAACGUUCCGUUGUAGCCUUGGCUGGUCUUCCAGCCAUUCCAAACCAUUUCACAGCCACCUAGCCAUCGUCCCAACCCCUCCAAUGUGCUACCAUCACUGUUCCAGUUCAACAUACCCACAGCCUUUGCUGUUCCAGUCUUCCAUCUUGCUAUCGUUGAUGUUCCAAUGCUCCCCCUUUUCCUGCCAUCAUCUCGGAUAGUCAUGCGACAUCGAUAUCUUCUGCGUACUUGCUGUCCGGAACCCAGAAAAUUGUUGACUUGCUAUAUUCUGCUUGUCAACAACCUCGUCCGCCAUCCCUUCACCUUCUAGACCUGCGCCGAUCACCACCGCCACCUGAGAUUCAUCAUAGCCCUAUGUUGCUAGUCGUGUAGUUAUUUUCUAUUUCAGCCUGUUGUGUGUCGUGUUUGUUUUUGUUUUUCCCUUUAAGUGUGUUAGUUGUAACCGUCUAUUUGCUUUCAAUAAUAUUAUGUGCUUUUUUCUUUUGAGGUUUCGGUUCUCUGGUACCAGAGAUGGAAUCUCCGAUAGGCCUAAAUAUCGAGCCUUCUUUCAUGGUUAUUUUAUUUGUUGACUUAUUGACUGAUUUGUCUCGCCAAAUCU